rnacentral:rRNA from 1 species
UACGGGGGGAGCAAGCGUUGUUCGGAUUUACUGGGCGUAAAGGGCGCGUAGGCGGUCAGCACAAGUCAGUUGUGAAAUCCCCGGGCUUAACUCGGGAAGUGCGGUAGAUACUCUGGGACUAGAGUGCUGGAGGGGUUCGUGGAAUUCCCGGUGUAGCGGUGAAAUGCGUAGAUAUCUGGAGGAACACCGGUGGCGAAGGCGACAUCCUGGACCGGUAUUGACGCUGAGGCGCGAAAGCCAGGGGAGCAAACGGG